UACGAAGGGGGCUAGCGUUGUUCGGAAUUACUGGGCGUAAAGCGCACGCAGGCGGAUCGAUAAGUCAGGGGUGAAAUCCCGGGGCUCAACCUCGGAAUUGCCUUUGAUACUGUCGAUCUCGAGUCCGGGAGAGGUGAGUGGAAUUCCUAGUGUAGAGGUGAAAUUCGUAGAUAUUAGGAAGAACACCAGUGGCGAAGGCGGCUCACUGGCCCGGUACUGACGCUCAGGUGCGAAAGCGUGGGGAGCAAACAGG
rnacentral:rRNA from 2 species